UUACGGCUAUAUCACGUUGAAACGCCGGUACUCGUCUCGUCACCGAAGUUAAGCAACACUGAGCCUGGUCACUACCUAGAUGGGUGACCGUUUGAGAAUACUAAAUGCUAU